rnacentral:lncRNA from 7 species
CCUACAGUAUGGUUGACCUGCUUGCAGCACUUCAGAAGGUUUUCCAGCAGCCCUUUGCAGCUGAUAUAUAUGGCAAUUUUAACACUGACCCAGUGCGUGGGGUAUCUUUAAGUGAUACCACCGUGCCUUGAUGGAGAAAUGUCUGUUCCCCUCUCACUCUUCUUAUUCUAGAACUUGGACUCUUUCUUGCACAGAGAAAUUUGACUUGUUUGGUCUCCAGACUGACUGCAGUGACCUUGGUAAUGAACUUUUCUAGAACACUGACAAUGGGUUCUUUAAAAAAAGAAAGAAGAGGAAAGAAAGAAAACAAACUUGAAGUCAUCCCCUUUCCUUCUUCCCCUGAGUUACUCAUCUACCGAGGAAAGAUACUGAGGCACAAGAGAGCAGAAGAAGAUUUGAUAACGUGUAGCAAAACUGAAGAACUGCCUCUGCUUCAUGAGAGCACUUUGCAAGACUCCUAUACAAGGUAAAUCACAGUAGGGAGAGAGACUUAACAAUGUACCUUUCAUAGUUUCCACUAAGAUUUUGAACAGGUUUUGUGUGUAUCUUGAAGGCAGUGAAUGUAAUAGCAGGAAUGCUUAUUGAUUGCUUACUUCUGUGCUGUUCGUUUAUGCCAGACCUAAAGCAUGUGUGCUGCAAAAGGCACUAACCUUGCAAAAACUGGUUCCAGUGCUUUUCCAAGUUAAACUUAUCCUGGCAGUAGUUUCAUUGAGAUUGCUUUCCUUCAAUGCACUUUGAAACAUUAAAAAGUAAUAAAAUGCGAAAGAUCAAU